CUUUGCUUCUUACUUCACUUGUGAGCAUAGCAGGGCCCCAUGUGAUGGAGGAAGGUAUAUAUCUUUGGUUGAGACGCUUGAGAAAAACAAUGUGUGGAUAAGCAUGCUUGAUGUUUGAGUGCCGUUGAAAAGGGCACAGCUGUCACAAGAGGGCUGUGUCACAUACACAGGCACGUGCAUGCACACACACUCGCAUCUGGACCUGCAUCUAAGUGUGUGAAGUCUCAGCACAGCAUCAGAGCACUUUUGUAGUUUGAAGGUUAGAGCUUCGGGUAAAGACUGGCACACAAACACAGAGGCAACUUGAACUCUUUCAGGUGAUUUUUGUGACUCCCAAAAAAAACACAAAACAGGCAUUGCAUGAGACUAAAGCUUUCUUUUUCAAAUGAAAGGUGAGUCACAAGGGCAUGGAGAGAUUUACCAAUUCGUAGGAUGUGAUAUAUCUUGCAUGCUUUGAAGCUCGGUGUGCAGAAUCCUUGCCUGAAUGUGACGGGGAAGAAGGAAACCCUCAUUUACUAAAUGACAUCCCACAGAUUGGGACAAAAGGCCCAGCAGGAAACCAAACACUGAGCUGUCUUUUCAGGCAAAGCGUGCAACCCUCCUCCUCCACUCCCACCUCCAGUCAUCAUCACUCGCGGCACCCUGGGUGCUCCGGCAGACGGCUCCGUCGACUCCUUCGGUCUGGUCUUCGGGCUCCUUCACCGCCACCACCAGUGUCUAGACUCCAUCAGGGGGAUAUGUCCUGUUUCCCUACCCCUUUAAAAAAAUAUUUCACGAUUGAGUCUAAUCUCCAAAGACU